rnacentral:rRNA from 1 species
AUACGGAGGGUGCAAGCGUUAAUCGGAAUUACUGGGCGUAAAGCGUACGUAGGCGGUCCGUUAAGUUAGAUGUGAAAGCCCCGGGCUUAACCUGGGAACUGUAUUUAAAACUGGCGGACUAGAGUUGAGUAGAGGGGAGUGGAAUUUCAGGUGUAGCGGUGAAAUGCGUAGAGAUCUGAAGGAACACCAGUGGCGAAGGCGACUCCCUGGACUCGAACUGACGCUGAGGUACGAAAGCGUGGGUAGCAAACGGGAUUAGAAACCCCUGUAGUCC